rnacentral:rRNA from 1 species
CCUACGGGAGGCAGCAGUGAGGAAUAUUGGUCAAUGGGCGGGAGCCUGAACCAGCCAAGUCGCGUGAGGGAGGACGGUCCUAUGGAUUGUAAACCUCUUUAGGCGGGGAGCAAUGCCGGGCACGCGUGCCCGGAGGGAGAGUACCCGCAGAAUAAGCAUCGGCUAACUCCGUGCCAGCAGCCGCGGUAAUACGGGGGAUGCGAGCGUUAUCCGGAUUUAUUGGGUUUAAAGGGUGCAUAGGCGGAUUUUUAAGUCAGCGGUAAAAUGUCCGGGCUCAACCCGGGCCGGCCGUUGAAACUGGGGAGCUUGAGUGGGCGAGAAGUAUGCGGAAUGCGUGGUGUAGCGGUGAAAUGCAUAGAUAUCACGCAGAACUCCGAUUGCGAAGGCAGCAUACCGGCGCCCGACUGACGCUGAGGCACGAAAGCGUGGGGAUCGAACAGGAUUAGAUACCCCGGUAGUC